UACGGAGGGGGUUAGCGUUGUUCGGAAUUACUGGGCGUAAAGCGCGCGUAGGCGGACCAGAAAGUUGGGGGUGAAAUCCCGGGGCUCGACCCCGGAACGGCCUCCAAAACUCCUGGUCUUGAGUUCGAGAGAGGUGAGUGGAAUUCCGAGUGUAGAGGUGAAAUUCGUAGAUAUUCGGAGGAACACCAGUGGCGAAGGCGGCUCACUGGCUCGAUACUGACGCUGAGGUGCGAAAGUGUGGGGAGCAAACAGG
rnacentral:rRNA from 1 species